rnacentral:rRNA from 1 species
UGCCAGCCGCCGCGGUAAUACGGAGGGUGCAAGCGUUGUUCGGAAUUAUUGGGCGUAAAGCGCGUGUAGGCGGCUUGUUAAGUCGGAUGUGAAAGCCCUGGGCUCAACCCAGGAAGUGCGUUCGAUACUGGCGAGCUUGAGUACGGGAGAGGAAAGUGGAAUUCCGAGUGUAGGGGUGAAAUCCGUAGAUAUUCGGAGGAACACCAGUGGCGAAGGCGGCUUUCUGGACCGAUACUGACGCUGAGACGCGAAAGCGUGGGGAGCAAACAGAAUUAGAUA